GGCUCAGAAUCAACGCUGGCGGCGCGCUUAACACAUGCAAGUCGAACGGGAAAGGGGAGCAAUCCCUGAGUACAGUGGCGUACGGGUGAGUAACACGUGGAUCAUCUACCUCCUGGUGGGGAAUAACUUUGGGAAACCGAAGCUAAUACCGCAUAAGCCCGAAAGGGGAAAGGCGCAAGUCGCCGGGAGAGGAGUCCGCGGCCGAUUAGCUAGUUGGUAGGGUAAAAGCCUACCAAGGCUGAGAUCGGUAGCCGGCCUGAGAGGGCACACGGCCACACUGGCACUGAAACACGGGCCAGACUCCUACGGGAGGCAGCAGUGGGGAAUCUUGCACAAUGGGGGAAACCCUGAUGCAGCGACGCCGCGUGAGCGAUGAAGCCCUUCGGGGUGUAAAGCUCUUUCGACAGGAACGAUAAUGACGGUACCUGGAGAAGAAGCUGCGGCUAACUACGUGCCAGCAGCCGCGGUAAUACGUAGGCAGCAAGCGUUGUUCGGAGUUACUGGGCGUAAAGAGUAUGUAGGCGGUUAUCCAAGUCUGGUGUGAAAUCUCCCGGCUCAACUGGGAGGGUGCGCCGGAUACUGGGUGACUGGAGCGUGGGAGAGGAAAGCGGAAUUCCUGGUGUAGCGGUGAAAUGCGUAGAUAUCAGGAGGAACACCAGCGGUGUAGACGGCUUUCUGGACCACGGCUGACGCUGAGAUACGAAAGCGUGGGUAGCAAACAGGAUUAGAUACCCUGGUAGUCCACGCCCUAAACGAUGCACAUUUGGUGUGAGCCAUUCAUUUGGUUCGUGCCGGAGCUAACGCGUUAAGUGUGCCGCCUGGGGAGUACGGUCGCAAGG
rnacentral:rRNA from 1 species